AACGUAGGGGACAAGCGUUAUCCGGAUUUACUGGGCGCAAAGCGCCCGUAGGCGGCCUGACAAGUUGGACGUGAAAGCUCCUGGCUUAACUGGGAGAGGCCGUUCAAAACUGUCAAGCUAGAGUCUGGAAGAGGAGAGCGGAAUUCCCGGUGUAGUGGUGGAAUGCGUAGAGAUCGGGAGGAACACCAGUGGCGAAAGCGGCUCUCUGGUCCAAAACUGACGCUGAGGGGCGAAAGCGUGGGGAGCGAACGGG
rnacentral:rRNA from 1 species